GACGAACGCUGGCGGCGUGCUUAACACAUGCAAGUCGGACGGUGAAGCGCCUUCCUUUUUGGUGGGUGUGGAUGAGUGGCGAACGGGUGAGUAACACGUGAGUAACCUGCCCCCUUCUUCUGGAUAACCGCAUGAAAGUGUGGCUAAUACGGGAUAUUCUGGGUCUGUCGCAUGAUGGGUCUGGGAAAGAUAUUGUUUCGGUGGGGGAUGGGCUCGCGGCCUAUCAGCUUGUUGGUGGGGUGAUGGCCUACCAAGGCGGUGACGGGUAGCCGGCCUGGGAGGGUGGACGGUCACACUGGGACUGAGACACGGCCCAGACUCCUACGGGAGGCAGCAGUGGGGAAUAUUGCACAAUGGGCGCAAGCCUGAUGCAGCGACGCCGCGGGAGGGAUGGAGGCCUUCGGGUUGUGAACCUCUUUCGCCAGUGAAGCAGGCCUGCCUCGUUUGUGGGUGGGUUGACGGUAGCUGGAUAAGAAGCGCCGGCUAACUACGUG
rnacentral:rRNA from 1 species